CAGCCGCCACGGGAAUACAGAGGGUGCGAGCGUUAAUCGGAUUUACUGGGCGCAAAGCGUGCGUAGGCGGCUUUUUAAGUCGGAUGUGAAAUCCCUGAGCUUAACUUAGGAAUUGCAUUCGAUACUGGGAAGCUAGAGUAUGGGAGAGGAUGGUAGAAUUCCAGGUGUAGCGGUGAAAUGCGUAGAGAUCUGGAGGAAUACCGAUGGCGAAGGCAGCCAUCUGGCCUAAUACUGACGCUGAGGUACGAAAGCAUGGGGAGCAAACAGGAUUAGAUACCCGGGUAGUCCCUGUCUCUUAUAC
rnacentral:rRNA from 1 species